UACGGGGGGGGCAAGCGUUGUUCGGAAUUACUGGGCGUAAAGGGCUCGUAGGCGGCCAACUAAGUCAUACGUGAAAUCCCUCGGCUUAACCGGGGAACUGCGUCUGAUACUGGAUGGCUUGAGAUUGGGAGAGGGAUGCGGAAUUCCAGGUGUAGCGGUGAAAUGCGUAGAUAUCUGGAGGAACACCGGUGGCGAAAGCGGCUUCCUGGUCCAGCACCGACGUUCAGGCACGAAAGCGUGGGGAGCAAACAGG
rnacentral:rRNA from 1 species